rnacentral:rRNA from 1 species
AUUGAACGCUGGCGGCAGGCCUAACACAUGCAAGUCGAACGAGUGGCGGACGGGUGAGUAAUGUCUGGGAAACUGCCUGAUGGAGGGGGAUAACUCCUGGAAACGGUAGCUAAUACCGCAUACCAUCGGAUGUGCCCAGAUGGGAUUAGCUAGUAGGUUGGGUAACGGCUCACCUAGGCGACGAUCCCUAGCUUGUCUUAGAGGAUGACCAGCUAGACUGGAACUGAGACACUGUCCAGACUCCUACGGGAGGCAGCAGUGGGGAAUAUUGCACAAUGGGCGUAAGUCUGAUGCAGCCAUGCCGCGUGUAUGAAGAAGGCCUUCGGGUUGUAAAGUACUUUCAGCGAGGAGGCGUUACUCGCAGAAGAAGCACCGGCUAACGCCGUGCCAGCAGCCGCGGUAAUUC